AAGCUGUGAUGACGGUUGCGCUAAUCGGGAUGGUAGGGUCUAUCCCAUCUGUCUGAUUUUCCGACGAGACAAAGCGCUUCUGAGCUU
rfam:Gossypium raimondii chromosome 9, whole genome shotgun sequence.